rnacentral:snoRNA from 1 species
AUUCUUCUGAAGUUCCUAAGUGUGAGACUGGGUUUUCAUGCACAUGUGUGAGAUGUGCCUCCUGCCUCCCUCAAACCGUGUUGUGGUGUCAGCACAUCACUUGUCUGAUG